rnacentral:rRNA from 1 species
AGUGAACGCUGGCGGUAGGCCUAACACAUGCAAGUCGAACGGCAGCACAGUAAGAGCUUGCUCUUACGGGUGGCGAGUGGCGGACGGGUGAGGAAUACAUCGGAAUCUACUUUUUCGUGGGGGAUAACGUAGGGAAACUUACGCUAAUACCGCAUACGACCUACGGGUGAAAGCAGGGGAUCUUCGGACCUUGCGCGAUUGAAUGAGCCGAUGUCGGAUUAGCUAGUUGGCGGGGUAAAAGCCCACCAAGGCGACGAUCCGUAGCUGGUCUGAGAGGAUGAUCAGCCACACUGGAACUGAGACACGGUCCAGACUCCUACGGGAGGCAGCAGUGGGGAAUAUUGGACAAUGGGCGAAAGCCUGAUCCAGCCAUACCGCGUGGGUGAAGAAGGACUUCGGGUUGUAAAGCCCUUUUGUUGGGAAAGAAAAGCAGCAGGUUAAUACCCCGCUGUUCUGACGGUACCCAAAGAAUAAGCACCGGCUAACUUCGUG